rnacentral:rRNA from 1 species
CUAAGAAUAUUCCGCAAUGGACGAAAGUCUGACGGAGCGACGCCGCGUGGAUGAAGAAGGCUGAAAAGUUGUAAAAUCCUUUUGUUGAUGAAGAAUAAGGGGGAGAGGGAAUGCUUCUCUGAUGACGGUAAUCGGCGAAUAAGCCCCGGCUAAUUACGUGCCAGCAGCCGCGGUAACACGUAAGGGGCGAGCGUUGUUCGGAAUUAUUGGGCGUAAAGGGCAUGUAGGCGGUUAUGUAAGCCUGAUGUGAAAUCCUGGGGCUUAACCCUAGAAUAGCAUUGGGUACUGUGUAACUUGAAUUACGGAAGGGAAACUGGAAUUCCAAGUGUAGGGGUGGAAUCUGUAGAUAUUUGGAAGAACACCGGUGGCGAAGGCGGGUUUCUGGCCGAUAAUUGACGCUGAGAUGCGAAAGUGUGGGGAUCGAACAGGAUUAGAUACCCUGGUAGUCCACACCGUAAACGAUGUACACUAGGUGUUGGGGCAAGAGCUUCAGUGCCAAAGCAAACGCGAUAAGUGUACCGCCUGGGGAGUAUGCCCGCAAGGGUG